rnacentral:rRNA from 1 species
CAGCAGCCGCGGGAAUACGAAGGGUGCAAGCGUUAAUCGGAAUUACUGGGCGUAAAGGGCGCGUAGGCGGCGCUCCAAGUUAGGCGUGAAAUUCCCGGGCUCAACCUGGGGACUGCGCUUAAGACUGGAGUGCUUGAGGAUGGAAGAGGGUUGUGGAAUUCCCAGUGUAGAGGUGAAAUUCGUAGAUAUUGGGAAGAACACCGGUGGCGAAGGCGGCAACCUGGUCCAUUACUGACGCUGAGGCGCGAUAGCGUGGGGAGCAAACAGGAUUAGAUACCCCCGUAGUCCCUGUCUCUUAUAC